rnacentral:lncRNA from 1 species
CUCGGGGCGGCUGGGAGGCGUUGCGCCGCGAGGGAGGCCCGGCGAGGGGGGCGGCGGGAGGGCACCGCGCGUCGCGCCCGGGUCUUGGGGAUGAGGUGGUGCGGCCGUCCCUCGCGUCCCCGCGAGCACUGCGAGCUGCCCCUUCCUCUGGCCUCUAAAUACAAGGUUAGGACGAGGACCGUAGAAGUUCUUCAGGUGGAAGCACACGUCCUCGUGGCCAGACGGCAUGAGACACAUUGUGGCUGUUGUGACAUUCUGCCUCCUGACCGCACCGUGCCAGUGGCGCCGCGGACGCAGCAGGCACUGCGGUACCCGAAGAGACCGGAUUGGAGCACUGAAAUUGUGACAGUUUCCUCUUUAGACUUUUAA